CAAGGAUGAGUCUGCGGACUAUCAGGUUGUAGUCAGGGUAACGACCUGACUAGCCUACGACGGAUACGGGUUGUGAGAGCAAUAACCCGGAGAUGAUAUCUGAGACACGAUAUCAGGCCCUACGGGGCGCAGCAGGCGCGAAAACUUCGCAAUGUGCGAAAGCACGACGAGGGAAUCCCAAGUGCUGGCUCGUUAGAGUCAGCUGUUUUUAUGUCUAAAAAGCAUAGAGAGUAAGGGCUGGGUAAGACGGGUGCCAGCCGCCGCGGUAAUACCUGCAGCUCAAGUGGUGGCCGCUAUUAUUGGGCCUAAAACGUCCGUAGCCUGUUUAUUAAAUGCCUAGGUAAAUUGUGUGGCUUAACCAUACGAAUUCUGGGUAGACUGAUAAACUUGAGACCGGGAGAAGCUAGAGGUACUCCUGGGGUAGAGGUGAAAUUCUGUAAUCCUAGGGGGACCACCAGUGGCGAAGGCGUCUAGCUAGAACGG
rnacentral:rRNA from 1 species